AUGACUUCUAUGCACAGAGUUCUGCUAUCUGGCGCCAGCUUGAUUCUCUCCGUAGUGCUGGGUGUCGUACCUGCCCCUGUUGCCAGGCUGUCCAGGCCAAUUUGGAGUUUCAUCGCGUCUAUGAGUUCCUGUCUCGGCUCCGUAAGGAGUUUGAGCCCCGGCGUGCUCAGUUGUUUGCUCGUGGCCGUAUUUCUCUCAUGGAGGCGCUUUCUGAGAUUCGUGCUGAGGAGACUCGCUUACGUGGUGCUGGUUUGCUGGAGGUUCCCUCUGUGCUCGCUACUCGUGCUCCUACGCCACCUGCUCCACCGAUCCCUUCUCGCUCGAGUGCUCCGCCGCUCUUGCCCACUCCUUCUGGAGGCUCAGGUCGCCCCCGUCCACAUUGCGCCUAUUGCAACAAUGAUGGUCAUCUUGAGUCUCAGUGCUACACGAAGAAGAAACACCUGCGCAAGGCUCGAUCAUCAUCUUCAGGGACUUCGUCCUCUACCUCGACAGCUUCAGCCAUUGCUUUGA
rnacentral:rRNA from 1 species